CCGAGACCCGCCUCCGAACCAGGCCCCACCUCCUGAGCCAGGCCCCCGCCCCCGAUUCUGACUCCGCCCUCUCUGUCCUUCGGUGGAGACUCCGGGAAAAACCUGCCUCCCAGUCUGCCCUCUCUCCGUCUGUCUGUGCUUGUUUUUCUACGUUUAUCCCUGUCGCUUUCCCCACUUAUUCUGCAGGCAUGGCGCGCCCCCAGUGCCGGCUUGGUGCCAGGGCUGGGAGAUCCGGGGGUGAAUCGUGAGCCCGGCCCACAGCGAGCUUGCAGUCUAGAGAUCAAGGCAGUCUUGUCCACAACCUGCUGUCACAUAAAGCAAAUGUAGCUGGUGUAGCACCAGGGGCUGCAAUCAAGUGCGGUGGGGCGGCAAUAGUGACCACGGAAAUAAUCAGAAUUGCUUUUAAUUCAGCUCCUACUAUAUUCCCGCAUCCCUGAGCCUCACAAUCAUCCUCCAAGGUAGGUAUUUUUGUCUUUCUCUAACAGAUGAAAACUCUGAGUUUCAGAAGAAUUAAAUGACAUCCCCCCAAAAGAGAGACAGUAUAAGAAUCCAAGUCAACCUGAGUCCAAAACCAGUGGCCCUUAACACUGUGUGGCUUUAUGGAGGACAUGGAGUUUAAGUUUACCUUCAAGGAUGAGCAACACUUUUCUUCAAGCAGAAAAAGAAGGGAAUGGGUGAACACGGUCCCAGGAUGUUCGCUUUGGCAGAUGAUUAGAAUACGUGCUGACUUGAUAGCCACAACUGUCCUGAUAAGAAAGUACGCCGGCCUGGCUGGGCAUGGUGGCUCACGCCUGUAAUCCGAGGAUUUUGGGAGGCCCAGGCGGGCGGAUCACUUGAUGUCAGGAGUUCGAGACCAGCCUGUCCAACAUGGUGAAACCCCGUCUGUACUAAAAAUACAAUAAUUAGCCGAGCAUGAUGGCAUGUGCCUGUAAUCCCAGCUACUCGGGAGGCUGAGGCACGAGAAUCGCUUGAACCUGGAAGGCAGAGGUUGCAGUUACUUUCCCGACAUUGCACCACUGCACUCCAGCCUUGGCGACAAGAGCGAAAUUUUGUCUCAAAAAAGAAAGAAAGAAAGCACUCAGGCCUGACCCAGGACCACAGCAGUGGACAUGGAGGGAGGAGGCUGGGGGUAGUUGGAUUGGUAUGAUAUGUCACUGAGUAAACGAAGGAAGGGACAGAAAGAGAACUCCAAAGUGUCAAAAGCCUGGACAACAGAGAGAAAGCAUCCUUGUCCUAUCAUUUAAAGCACCUGUUGGGCCAAAUAGGGAGCACCUUUCAGAAUCCAUGUGCACAAGAUCUCAGCAAUUCUACGUCCAAGAAUGUAACCUACAUCCAAGAAUGUACUGGAAUUUAAUUCCACAUCCAAGAAUCCCCAUAGGUAGCAAAGAUGUAUAUUUAAGGGUAUUCUCUCAGCUUUGUUUUUAUGUUAGGAGAUUGGGAACAACCUAAAUGCCCAUCAGCUGGUGACUGGCUAGGUUAACUAUUCACAAAUGGAAUACUAGGUAGCCUCCUAAAAGAGGAAAGCAAUUCUACAUAUCCUGAUACAGUGUGGUCACCAGAUAGAUGGCUAAGAUACAAAUAAAACAAACAAGUUGCAGUGUUAGAGUAUGCUAUGUAUCACUCCUUUUUAAGGACAAAAAGAGGAUAUACUUUAACUUUUUAAGAUACCAAAGUAUUUAUUUAUUUAAAAUUUUUUUCACAGAAUUGUUAUAGCAUGUAGAACCAAAAAUUAUUUACAAAUGAAAUUAUUCAAUGUCUGAGAUUUGUGUCAAAAUAAUGGUAUGGGGGUUUAGUGAGUAAGCAUGUAGGUAGAACAAGAUUGUCCAUGAGCUGAUAGUUGUUGAAGCUGGGUGAUCACCUGGGUGUUUUAUACUAUUUGGGUGUUAAACUAUUUUUUUUUCUAUUCUUGUGUAUGUGUCAAAUUUCCACUUAAGAAAAUGGGGGAAAAUGGUGUCAGCCCUCCAUUCCAGCUGAACACACCAUGUUAGUUCAUGCCCCAUCACACCACUCUUCUAGCCAUCUGUCAAUCUUCUCUGCCUGGCAAAUUUCUACUCUUUCAUCAGGACCCAGGAUAAUUAUCACCUUCUCUGAGAGGGCUUUUCCAACCCCUAUAGUCAGAAUCAUUCCUUCUCUAUGCUUGGGGCCCCCUGAGAAAUGUCUCUAAUCCUGUCACAAAUACAUAUUCCAGUGUCAUUAUCCAUCUCCCUAGUAGACAGUGAACAUUUCCAUCAAUGAGACAAUGUCUCAACUAUCUUCUUUCUGUCUCAACCCUUAACCCUGGCACUUAAUACUUGUUUGUUAAAUUCAUGGGUCAGGUCUAGUGAAGACAAUGAUUAGUUGUUUGGUUUGAUACAUACUGACCUUGAGAAGUCAAAGGGAUAUAGGAGGAGAGAAAGUGAAUGAGGAACUGAUGUUACUGAGCCUGUGCUAGGAGACUGCUGGGGCAAGGAAUAGAGUGAGGAGAAAGGAGGCAAGGCUCCUGCUGGCAAGGACCUCACUUUCAUUUCAGCUGGGGAAGAGCAUGGAAAGAUGUCAUUCUAGAGCAUGGUAAGUGCCAUGGAUGAAAUAGACAAGGCAAAACUUAUUCCACUUCAGCAAAGCGAGUGUCAAUAUUCUACUUAUGGAUGAGUGGAUGAACACAUGUUCAGAUGAAAUCACUUGUGCAAAGUUUACAGCUGUUAGUGCUGAACAGGAACAAGCCUUUGUCUGCCAUCAUGUGCGGCCAUGCUUUUUCCUCUGCCCUUCACUGCCAUUCGACAUGCAGGUGACACUCUGGAGCUCGGACCGAACAUUCAGAUUUGGAGGUCAUUCUACAGGAGAUAGUUGAAAUGAGGGGAGGGGAGAAGGUCUCCUAGAAACCACAAGAGAGGGAAAGUAACAGCAGCUGACUUUCAUUGAGUACUUAGUACACUCCAGACCCCAUACUAAGCAUUUUUUUUUUUGAGAUGGAGUCUCGCUCUGUUGCCCUGGCUGGAGUGCAGUGGUGCAAUCUCGGCUCACUGCAACCUCCUCCUCUUGGGUUCAAGCGAUUCUCCUGCCUCAGCCUCCCAAGUAGCUGGGACUACAGGUGUGUGCCACCACGCCCAGCUAAUUUUUUGUAUUUUUAGUAGAGCCAGCAUUUCAUCGUGUUAGUCAGGAUGGUCUUGAUCUCCUGACCUCAUGAUCUGCCCGCCUCAGUCUCCCAAAGUGCUGGGAUUACAGGCGUGAGCCACCGCACCUGGCCCAUACUAAGCCUUUUACACUUUUAAAAGUAAAAGUGAAAUCACUUUGCACAAGUGAUUUCAUCUGAACAUGUGUUCCUCCACUCAUCCAUAAGUAGAAUAUUGACACUUGCUUUGCUGAAGUGGAAUAAGUUUUGCCUUGUCAAUUUGUUUAUUUAUUUAUUUAUUUAUUUAUUUAUUUAUUUAUUCUAUUAUAUAUUUAUUUAUUCCAUAUAACAACCCUCAUUAAGUAGGAACUCUUUUUUGAGGGACAGGGUAUUACUGUGUUGCCCAGGCUAGUCUUGAACUUCUGGCCUGUGGUGUUCCUCCUGCCUUGGCCCCACAGAGUGCUGAGAUUACAGGCUUCAGCCACCAUGCCCGGUCUAAAGUAGGAACUCUUAACAGUCCCACAUUUAUAGCCUGGGAAAAUGAAGCUUAGGAAGAAUGAAGUCAACAGAGCAACAGAGGUCACACACCUCGCAAACAGCAGAGCCCAAAUGUCUUACCAUGCACUACCCUUUUGAGAAAGAAGACUGAAAUCAGGAGCCUGGUAAGGAAAUGGUGGAAACAGUGAAAGAGAACAAGAUGCACUGUUUCAUUUGUGAGAUGAGAAACAGAAAAAAAGAAAUGUCCUGAGAGCCCAAGAAAGACUGUUAGGAAAGGAACUGGGGCAAGUGUCAGAGUCCAUGGAGAAACCCAGCAGGGAAACCUGAGGGUCAUGGCAAUUGGCCAACACGAGGCGAUAAGGGACCUUUGAUGGAGCUAUUUUUGGUGGUGCUAACCUUCUUUGCUACAGGCUCACAACUGGAGCAUCUGCUUGCUUCCUCUGACCUGCCCCCUGGACUCAUGUUGUCAUUCUUCUCGCUCAACCUGUCUGCCUAGGGAAGAAGCCCUGGACUGUGUUUCCCCAAUCUCAGUAUUCCCAACCCUCCUGGCCCCCAACCCAGUACCUGCAGAGCUGACUCUAACCACCCAGUGCACCUCCCGCAGGCUGCAGCAGCCCCCAUCGAGGCCACUCAUUUACAGCACAGGCCCACACAGUCUGACAAAGGACAGCUGCAAUCCUCUGUCAACUGCAGUCCUUUCCCAGGCACAUGCUGGAUUGGGAAACAGACAUUUAUCAAGCACCUACUCUGUGCCUAGCAUUGUGCUAGGUGCUAGAGAGCCAAAAAUAAAUAGCAGCUGCUCUUGUGGAGGUCACAGUCUUGGAGGAGUUAAAGACACGGAAACAAAUUACAACACAGCGUAACAGCAGUGACAGAAGCACGUAUGAUAUGGUUUGACUGUGGCCCCACCAAAUCUCAUCCUGAAUUGUAGUUCCCAUAAUCCCCACUUGUGGUGGGAGGGGCCCAGUCGGAGGUAAUUGAAUCAUAAGGGUAGUUUCCCCCAUGUUAUUCUCGUGAUAGUGAGUUCUCAUGAGAUCUGAUGGUUUUAUAAGGGGCUUCCCCCUUCACUCAGCUCUCAUUCUUCUCUCUCCUGCCACCAUGUAAAGAAGGAUGUGUUUGGUUUCCCUUCCAUCACGAUUGUAAGUUUCCUGAGGCCUCCUCAGCCAUGUGGAACUGUGAGUCAAUUAAAUCUCUUUCCUUUAUAAAUUACCCAGUCUUGGGUAUUUCUUCAUAGCAGCCUGAGAAGGGACUAAUACAACAUACGAAGUUGGCAGCAAAGUGAGUGGUGGAAAGGAGAGUCAUGGAAAAGCAAACAAGGGAGGGUUAUAACUACAGCUUGGCAUCCUCCACUAAUGUUGUAAGGUCCUGGAGCAUUUUGGCAAUGGUGCUAAAAUGAGGAUGUAAGGACAAAAUCCCCUAGAUUUUCGACAGGUGAGCUUGUGAGGUGUUG
rnacentral:lncRNA from 1 species